rnacentral:sRNA from 1 species
CUCCCAGUAACAUCUCUCUCACUCGCUAAACCCUCUCUUUCUACCUCUCAAACUCUCCCGUCCUCUCUUUUCUUUGUAACGCAGCGAAAGUCACCAAACCUUGACGAAUCAACGCUCAAACCACCACCACAUCCCACCCUCUUGACCUCGCGAGUUCGAACCCGAGCUCCGUUUCGUAGGAAACAGAGACUAGAAGCUCUAGCUCGAAGCUCCGACGAGAAAGAAACUUCCCGACGAAGUUCCCGACACUUUUCCGACCACUCCACACCGUUUUGGAAGAGUUGGAAGCCACCACACAACUCCCUAACGUCCCUGGGUCAAGUUUGAGGCAAUCCCCAACUCGAAAACACACGGUUUCGAAGCUUUGGGUUUUUGGCCGAGACUUUCUGGCCAAUUUCAGUACAUUUACGUCUACUUUUUGGAGUUCCAAGAGGUUCCUUCCGUCCUGUUUUUGGCUAAAUCAUGGCGAGUUAGCCAUUGCUAUGGGUACCAAUCUGUGUCCGCUAGUACACUUUGACUUCAGUUGGGGUCUGUCAAAGUUCAUGAAGCACCAUUACUAAUUCCAGACAUAUGAUUUGUUGCUGAACAAGACAUAAAUUUCAUAAUUUCACUUUUACUCUGGACAGUUGUAUCGUGUUGACUUACAAUACA